AACGAACGCUGGCGGCAGGCUUAACACAUGCAAGUCGAGCGCCUUGGCAACAAGGAGCGGCAGACGGGUGAGUAACGCGUGGGAAUCUACCCAUCUCUACGGAAUAACUCAGGGAAACUUGUGCUAAUACCGUAUACGCCCUUUGGGGGAAAGAUUUAUCGGAGAUGGAUGAGCCCGCGUUGGAUUAGCUAGUUGGUGGGGUAAAGGCCUACCAAGGCGACGAUCCAUAGCUGGUCUGAGAGGAUGAUCAGCCACAUUGGGACUGAGAUACGGCCCAGACUCCUACGGGAGGCAGCAGUGGGGAAUAUUGGACAAUGGGGGCAACCCUGAUCCAGCCAUGCCGCGUGAGUUAGGAAGGCCUUAGGGUUGUAAAGCUCUUUUGUCCGGGAAGAUAAUGACGGUACCGGAAGAAUAAGCCCCGGCUAACUUCGUGCCAGCAGCCGCCGUAA
rnacentral:rRNA from 1 species